ACGAAAGCAAGGGGAUCUCUGUGAAUUCAAUGUCAGUCUGAUCUAUGUAGUAAGCUCCAGGCCAGCCAAGGCUAUUUAGUGAAACUCUGUCUCAAAAAAUAGUAACAAUAACAACCAACCAACCAGCCAAACAAGCAAAAACACUCUUUGCUGGGUAGCUUACACCUAAAAUUUCAGCACUGAGAAGCUAAGACAAGAGGAUUGCUGAAAGUUUGAGGAUAGUGUAGACUACACAAUAAAUUACAGGCUGUUAAAACAUGAGCCUUCAGACCUAAUCCCACAGCCUGAACCAGGCCACACCUCCCUGCAGCUCUCUCUGGGACAGACAGUGAAGAAGCAAUCUGUGCUGUGACUUGACAUCUCUCCUUUUAUGGUACCCGGCUUUCCAAGCUCCCUGUCAUGUAUGUUAUACUUAUCUAAAUCAUGUGAUGUGAAACUUCCUACCACCCCUAAAAGUUUGUAUCACCUAUGGUAGUUUGAAUGUAAUGGACCCUCAUAAGCUCACAGGGAGUGGCACUAUUAGGAGAUGUGGCCUUGUUGAAGUAGGUGUGCCCUUGUUGGAGGAAGUGUGUCACUGUGUGGGUGGGCUUUGAGGUUUCCUAUGCUCAAGCUAUGCCUAAUUCAGUUCACUUCCUGUUGCCUACAGAUCAAGAUGUAGGACUCUCGACUCCUUCUCCAGUACCAUGUCUAUCUGAAUGCCACCAUGUUCUGCCGUGAUGAUAAUGGACUAAACCUCUGAACUGCCUUGAGACUUCAGCACAACUGACUCCAUGAUGGAAGUACCAUUCAGGCUGUAAAGUUCAACAUGUAGACAACACCACCUGCCAAAACUAAAACAAAGGCCUAAUCCAUCAAAGUCCAUAAUUCUAGGAAAGUCUCUAAAUGUACUAACCUUGCUUUUAACUUCUGUAGUUCCGCUUCUGGCUAAUUGUCCUUGCUAAACUGAAGUAUGUCAACAUAGAACAAAGCUUUUGUGCUUAUGAGCUCACCCUGAGAAAGCGUUGGGGCUACACUGAGAUCCCAAACAUUCAUUCUAGUCACCAGCUGGUUAAUAAAGACUUCCUAUUGGCUGAAA